CCGCCCCCGUCCGGCGCGCACACGACCCCGGGGGCACGGCGGUGCCGGUAGCGCCGCCCGGCGGAGGGACACGGCGCCACCGGUAGCGCCGCCAUGCGUUAUUCCGGUGCGUGAGCUACGAGCAGCCCCGCUGCCGACCACCAACUUCCCAGUGCGGGGGGCGCGAGACUCUCUAACAAGUCAACCCCAGCGCAGGGCGGCUUCCUGCUGUACGAGGGCUCCCGUCGCGCCGCUGCUCUCCGCCUUUCGGCCGGCCCUCCUCCGCCCGGCGCCCCCAGUGGAGUUACCUCGCCCGUCACCAUAGCCCGGCGGGUCGCUGUUGGCGGCCAUAACAGUUUCCAUCCGGGGACUGCGGAGCUGCGAGCCUAGAGCUGGGGGCGGCCGUCGCGGAGGGAUACGCGUUCACCUGGUGCGGGCGGACGGCGGCCGACGAGGCCCACGGGAUGGAGCGCUGGGGGAGGAGGCACCGCCCGGGGGCGGGGGCCCUGCCGGCCUCUCCUCCUCUUGGGCUGAGGAAGCUGAGGCUUCCUGUGUCCCGGCCUUGGGCCGCGUCGGCCUGGUGCCGGCCCGAGGCCUGCAGGCCAGGUGGCAGCGAGCAGCCCGGCGCCACGGGCGUUUCCUGACAGGCUCCCCCAGCGCCCACAUCCGCUCUCCGACAGCCUUAAGCCAUGAGUGAAUCAACGAAGUGAUUAGUCAAAUUGCAAAUAUGUGCUGCUACUGUUUUGGAGGAACUGAAAACCAACUGCAGCUGAAGAAAAGAAUGAGAAAAAGUAAAGGAAAAAAAAGAAACAGUCUAAUUCUAUCUACAGUCCUAAAGAUGCAAAAGACAACAAGGAAGAAUUACCGUGACAAUGGACAAGUGGCUACAGUUGAACUUGUGUGAAAAUGUUACUUUUCCUUAUCGGAAAGUGAAAAUAUGAAUUGUAUUGUCAGUUACACGUCCCACCAAAAUGCAUGAAGACACAAAUAAAUAUUUAAUCUGUGGUGAAUCAUUUUGUGAUAUAAAUUCAGACCACAUAUGGAUGUCAACCACAGGAGAGAAAAAAGACACCACCCAUGAGAUGACACAAACAAGAGAAAGAAAGCCUUCUAUCCAAUUUAUCAUUUAUAUUAGGGGUAAAGGAGGAUUCAGAAAAACUGAAGUCAAACCACAUGGUUAUAAUGAUAAAUUUGUAUAGUAACAUCUGGAAUAAUGAAAGGUGACAAUCUGAUGAAAAACAACAAAAAAUGGCCAAACACACAAAAAACAUUGACAUCAUUUAGUAGUUUCUCCCAAAGUUAAUGAAAGAGCUCUUUAGUCAUAUGAGUUAUCAUCCAAAAAAACUGCCUCCAAAAUUCCUAAAUAUUUGUCUACAAGCUUCCCAUUUUGUGCAGUGUUAAGAACACCUUACAAACCACAACGUGAGUGCCUGCUUAAGAGAAGGCACUCAUGAUGUGCCUUCAUUCUGAAUCCAUAUGCUCACUACUGAGGACAUGACCAAUGAAUGAAACUUCCAUCUUCAGAAUAAAACUAAACUAAAAGCCACUAACAAAUCCAAGUUCAACUGAAGUCUUAACUGCAGUCUUCUCAAGUGUUUUAGAAGCACAUGCCCAGAGCUGGAUAGCGCACACAUUUUCCAAAUAUCUUAAUGCUGACAAUCCAACCUCACAUGGC
rnacentral:lncRNA from 1 species